UCCAUCCCAUUUAUGAACUUCCGCCAUAAGUAAUUAGGUUAAUGAAUCUAAACUUCAUGCCUUUGAAUAUUCAUCCCGUAAAAUCUAUGUACUUUUGUUGCAGUGAGUUCUGCAGCAUGGUAAGGAAGAUUUUUAUCUAUACAAUAGAGGAAAUCAAGAGGUUGUCACCCAAGAUAAAACUUACACUCAAUGAAGAGGUCAAACCAGGAAAGCCAGAUUCUGAAGCAGCAAUCAACAUCGAAGACCAGUCAUCCAUUGUGGGACCUGCAUACUGAUCUGCCCCGUUGUCUCUAGCUAUAUAAUGAAAAAUGGAAAAAAAAAUUGGAAAAUGGAACUUGAUUGUCACAUGAGAUUCUGUCUGCUAGGAUGAUGCUAUCUAUGACAAAGUACACGUGCUGGAAGAAUUGGUUGAGUUUCCCUGCAUGCUGAGAUGGAGGGGGGCAGUGGCCUGUAAUGCACAUGCAAUCUGGAGAGUCACUACUCGUGACAGGGUUUGGAUGUUAUGGUUAUUGGUUGUCUAGUUUUGCCAAGAGGAUCUCAUAGUGCUUGCUUGUUUGGGCGAAUUGAGUCAGUAGUAGUCCUACUGGAGCAGCUCAAGUCCUCUGAUUUUAUUGAUCAACAAGAAUACGAUGCCUGCAAAAUGAAAUAAAGGAGCUUUUCUGGAAGGUGAUGCUGCUGUUGCCGUCGCUGAGGAGGUGAAGAAGAACAACCAUGUAGUAAGAAAGUUGGAGAGAAGAAGAACAACCAUGUAGUAAGAAAGUUGGAGAAGUGUCAACAGAUUUGCACCCUUGACCAACAUUUGGAAGAGCAAUUUGGUGGUGGUCGUCUAUUGGCUUGUAUCUCAUCACGACCUGGACAGUGGCUGUGCUGAUGGGAUGGGAAAACAUUGGACAAUGAGUUGGAGGUUGUUGAGGGAAUGAAGCUAGAUAGGGGCUACAUAUCCCCUUAUUUCAUCACCAAC